rnacentral:rRNA from 1 species
AUUGAACGCUGGCGGCACGCCUUACACAUGCAAGUCGAACGGCAGCACGGGUGCUUGCACCUGGUGACGAGUGGCGAACGGGUGAGUAAUACAUCGGAACGUACCUUAUCGUGGGGGGUAACGCAGCGAAAGCUGUGCUAAUACCGCAUACGCCCUGAGGGGGAAAGCGGGGGAUCGAAAGACCUCGCGCGAUUAGAGCGGCCGAUGCCUGAUUAGCUUGUUGGUGGGGUAAAAGCCCACCAAGGCGACGAUCAGUAGCUGGUCUGAGUGGACGAUCAGCCACACUGGGACUGAGACACGGCCCAGACUCCUACGGGAGGCAGCAGUGGGGAAUUUUGGACAAUGGGGGCAACCCGGAUCCAGCAAUGCCGCGUGAGUGAAGAAGGCCUUCGGGUUGUAAAGCUCUUUUGUCAGGGAAGAAACACCGGCUCUAACACAGUCCGGGAAUGACGGUACCUGAAGAAUAAGCACCGGCUAACUACGUGCCAGCCGCCGCGGUAA